GAUGAACGCUGGCGGCGUGCUUAACACAUGCAAGUCGAACGGAAAGGCCCAAGCUUGCUUGGGUACUCGAGUGGCGAACGGGUGAGUAACACGUGGGUGAUCUGCCCUGCACUUCGGGAUAAGCCUGGGAAACUGGGUCUAAUACCGGAUAGGACCACUUCUUGGAUGUUGUGGUGGAAAGUUUUUUCGGUGUGGGAUGAGCUCGCGGCCUAUCAGCUUGUUGGUGGGGUAAUGGCCUACCAAGGCGUCGACGGGUAGCCGGCCUGAGCGGGUGUACGGCCACAUUGGGACUGAGAUACGGCCCAGACUCCUACGGGAGGCAGCAGGGGGGAAUAUUGCACAAUGGGCGCAAGCCUGAUGCAGCGACGCCGCGUGGGGGAUGACGGCCUUCGGGUUGUAAACUCCUUUCGCUAGGGACGAAGCGUUUUGUGACGGUACCUGGAGAAGAAGCACCGGCUAACUACGUG
rnacentral:rRNA from 1 species